rnacentral:rRNA from 1 species
GUCUAUGGCCAUGCCACCCUGAACAAGCCAGAUUCCCAUCUGAUCUCGGAAGCCAAGCAGAGUCGGGCCUGGUUAGUACUUGGAUGGGAGACCACCUAGGAAGAGCAGGUGCUGUAGGCA